CAGAGAUCAACGCAAGAUUGUUUUCUACACAUUGGUAGAAAUGUUUAAUAAUAGGCAAAUGUUGGUUAAAAAAAAAAUACUAUAGUAUUUGUGUUAGUAUGGGGUUAUGCUGUCACUUCCGGGUGAAGAUGUGCUGCAUUCUCUUAAUGAACAACUCGUGAAAUCUGAUUUUAUAUUGCUGCAUUAUGGUCCUGUGUUUGUUAAAUGUUGAUCUAAAUAAUAUCGAUAUGGUGACAAAAGCAAGCGUUUAUAUGUAAGCAGAUGAGUUUAUCGUUAAUAUAUACAAUUAUAUGACGUGUGUCACGGCUGAGCCGCGAAAAUUAACGAGAACGGCUGUUCUACCAGACGUGAUAUAGCAAUAUAUUUGGUUGCCAAGUGGCUACAAAAUCAGAACUAAAUAGUUAAGUUUUAUCCUGAAUUUGUAUCAUUGCAGCAUGUAUAGUUCUAACACAAUUUGAAUCUAACGUGAAGAACGAUGACAUGUAACCAAUGACAAAGUUAAGAGGCGUGACUUGCUGGAGAAGCCCCGGCUGCGAUGUGAAGACAGUAAUUAAACCCCGCAGCAUCCGCAAAAGAAAGCUGGUGUUUCAAGCGUGGAGUAUAUCGUUUCUGAUGUUGAGCGGAUUUGAACACCGACCGUGUUUGGUAAACACAUUUUUGGACCUCCAAAUCUUGUUCAAGUGACCGGCAUCUGCAUCAGUUGGACUGGGUGGUCAGACUGUGAUCUUACACAACCUGAGCAGAUACUUUGUAUUGAGGACAGCCGGGUGAUGAGACAAAGUACAUUACCACAAUGGGGUCAGUUACGGACACCCGUCCUUGUGGUUGCACAGAGUGAGGGGGUUUUUGUUUUCUUUCAGGCUUGAAAGCUGAAGGUAAUACAGCCAACUCUUCAAAACUGCUGUAUGUAAAUGUAUGUUUGAGUUAGAAUAUUCGAAUCUGAAAAGUGGAUUGUUAUUUACACGUUAAACCAGAGAAAUGGCGAAAGAUAAUGCUAACGACAGUCCAGACACGGAACAGCCAACAACCUCUACAAAUAAUCAAUCGACCAUACCCCAAAAAAACAAAUGAACCAACCGCUACUUUGUUACACAGCGAUGCGCACAAUAAUCCUCAGAUACAAGGCGUGUUAACCGAGCUUAGUAGCCCCCAUUUUUCACACGAUCUAGUUGACACUCCUUCGAGCUCUCUGAUGCAAACUCAAUGCAGUGCUGGCGAUGUUAGAGUUAUACAGCGUAAUGCGUUUGACAAUGUUGAAUUACGACAGUUUAUAAAUUUACAAAAUACUGGUGAAGUUGGUGAUUUUGGCACAUUCUACACAAGUAUUAUGGCAGGCUUGGAUACUUUGAUUGUUAGAGCCUCAGACUUUGUACAAGGGCCCGGUGAUCGUCUGCAGAUUGAGUUGAUUGGUGAAUCUCUGAUAGAUCCCGUACAUGUGACCAUGAGAGCGGAUGAAUAUAAUGAACGCACGUUUGGUAAUUUACUUGAAAGUGUUAUGCAGAGUAAUACGGAGCUUAUGAUUGAUGAAUCACUAGAACUGGU
ensembl:lncRNA